UAGAUUGAAGCCAGUUGUUUGGGGUAUUUAGCUGUUAACUAAUGUCUUGUAGGUUAAAAUCCUGCCGAUCUAG
rnacentral:tRNA from 1 species